rnacentral:rRNA from 1 species
UACGUAGGGAGCAAGCGUUGUCCGGAAUCAUUGGGCGUAAAGCGCGCGUAGGUGGCUUCAUAAGUCCGUUGUGAAAGUCAAAGGCUCAACCUUGGGAUGCCGGUGGAUACUGCUGAGCUAGAGUACGGAAGAGGCGAGUGGAAUUCCCGGUGUAGCGGUGAAAUGCGCAGAUAUCGGGAGGAACACCUAUUGCGAAGGCAGCUCGCUGGGACGUCACUGACGCUGAGACGCGAAAGCGUGGGGGAGCAAACAGG